UAACUCAGUAAAUUUGGUCACCCAUCA
rnacentral:piRNA from 1 species